rnacentral:tRNA from 1 species
AUUUCCGUACCGGAGGAAAUGGGAUUCGAACCCAUGAUACAAUCUUCUUGUAUGUCGAUUUAGCAAACCAAUGCCUUAAGCCACUCAGCCAUACCUCCAAGUUGUUGAUCGGAAUGGAAUUGGAUGUGCCGGGUUUGGUUGCUUGCCCGAAGGAAGGGCUAUCUGAGAAAAGGUCACAAAUAGAGUUGAACCAAGUAACAUUGCAAAGGCAUAAUGAUAGUAGGGUCGGGAUAUCCCCGCCCUCCGAACCGGCAACGAAGUUCUUAAAUGACUAGAUUCUCCCGGAACGCUAGCUAAGCUAAUCGUCUUAGUUCCCUUCAAUUAAAUCAAUAAGCUUUUUGAUUGAUUCAGGGCGCCGCCCCCCUUCUUAGAAUUAGAACCCAUUGAGGGGGGCCUCGGCCCGGGAAGGGGAGAGUGGC